rnacentral:rRNA from 1 species
GAGUUUGAUCUUGGCUCAGAAUGAACGCUGGCGGCAUGCCUAACACAUGCAAGUCGAACGAAGGCUUCGGCCUUAGUGGCGCACGGGUGCGUAACGCGUGGGAAUCUGCCCUUGGGUUCGGAAUAACAGUUAGAAAUGACUGCUAAUACCGGAUGAUGUCGUAAGACCAAAGAUUUAUCGCCCAAGGAUGAGCCCGCGUAGGAUUAGCUAGUUGGUGGGUAAAGGCCCGACCAAGGCGACGAUCCUUAGCUGGUCUGAGAGGAUGAUCAGCCACACUGGGACUGAGACACGGCCCA